GGUCGCAUAGUUCAGUGGUAGAACGUCGACGGUUCACCGCCGAAGCCGCCAGUUUGAUUCUGGCUGUGAUCA